ACUGGCAGACUAUUGCAAAAAGGGCACGGGGCAGAGGGACUAUGUUGUGAGCCUGCGAAAGAAGUUUGUGUGGGGACUGUGGGCAGUGAACGCGUUGGGAACAAUAUGGAAAACUGGGAGCCGCCUUGGAAUCUACAGGGCCGGGCUGAAGAAAAGAAGAAUGGUAUUCACGCAGUUCCCAUUUUACAGAUGAAAACAAGAGGACUUUUUCUGUGAAGUCAAGAAAGUGGUUACAAUGGUACUUUCAGCCUGUCCGAAUUAUGUAUUGCCCCUCCCCUUUUUAUUAAUAACAUUGAAGUGUGAUGGGACAACCACUGAAGCCGUCAGUUGAAACCUGCUGGGACUUUUUAGCCAUUCUCUUCAACAUAAAGAAUGGGUGUUUUUGGAGGGGGUGAGAGGAAUGGGGAAAUGUUGUCAAAGAGUACAAUGUUUUAGUUGAGACAGGAAGAAUAUAUUUUGUUGAGAUCUACAGCACAGCAUGGUGACUGUAGUUAACAAUGAAGUAUUGUGUAUUUCCAAAUUGCUAAGACAAUAAAUUUCAAAUGUUCUCACCACAAAAAAG
rnacentral:lncRNA from 1 species